GCCGGGAUGGCUCAGUUGGUAGAGCAAUCGAUUCGUAAUCGAUAGGUCGGGAGUUCGAAUCUCCCUUCCGGCACCA
rnacentral:tRNA from 1 species